AUACUAAACAACUGUGUCCUCAUGAUGACGCACUGGAAACCUCUGUUCGCGAGAAAUGUUUGUUUUUUUUGUAAUAAAAAAACUCAAAUGUUGUGCUGUUUCUAUCACGCAGGAGUUUCCAGGUUGGAGGUGGGGAGGAGGGGGAGGACUGUUUCUAUCACUGUGGAGUGUUCCAGGCUGGAGGGGGAGGGAGGAGGGGGAGACUGUUUCUAUCACUGUAGAGUGUUCCAGGCUAGGAGGGAGGGGGGAGGAGGGGGGAGACUGUUUCUAUCACUGCAGGAGUGUUCCAGGCUGGAGGGGGAGGGAGGAGGUGGAGACUGUUUCUAUCACUGCAGGAGUGUUCCAGGUUGGAGGUUGGGGGGGAGGGGGGAGGGGGAGACUUUUUAUCACUGGCAGAGUGUUUCAGGUUGGGGUGGGGGGGGAGACUGUUUCUAUCACUGCAGGAGUGGUUCGGGUUGGAGGGGGGGGGGAGGGAGGAGGUACGGGAGACUGUUUCUAUCACUGCAGGAGUGUUCCAGGUUGGAGGGGGAGGGAGGAGGGGGAGACUGUUUCUAUCACUGCAGGAGUGUUCCAGGCUGGAGGUGGAGAGAGAAAGACUGA
rnacentral:lncRNA from 1 species